rnacentral:rRNA from 1 species
UACAGAGGUCUCAAGCGUUGUUCGGAUUCAUUGGGCGUAAAGGGUGCGUAGGCGGCGCGGUAAGUCGGGUGUGAAAUCUCGGAGCUUAACUCCGAAACUGCAUUCGAUACUGCCGUGCUUGAGGACUGGAGAGGAGACUGGAAUUUACGGUGUAGCGGUGAAAUGCGUAGAUAUCGUAAGGAAGACCAGUGGCGAAGGCGGGUCUCUGGACAACUCCUGACACUGAGGCACGAAAGCUAGGGGGAGCAAACGGG